AUGACCCUGCUGGAGUGCGGGGGGGACCUCCAGCCCCCCGGAGGGUCCCUGCGCCUCCUCUGCCGAGGGUCCGGGUUCGAUUUUGGGAAAUUUGCAAUGGGCUGGAUCCGCCAGAGACCCGGGCGGCGGCUGGAAUUCAUCGCGGCGAUCUGGGACAAUGCUGGUUGGACUGGGUACGCGGAUUCAGUCAAGGGCCAGUUCAGGAUCUCCAGGGACAACGGGCAGAGCUUGGUGACGCUGACCAUGAACAACCUCAAGGACGAGGAUUCCAGAUCCUAUUUCUGCGUGAAAUCUCGUUUAACUAGUGGAGGGCUCCGGGCGGCCAUGACCCAGCUGGAGUUGGUCAUGGUCAGCGUCAUCAGACUCUGUCCCUUUUCCCUGGCGAUCAUGAACCGGCCCUUCACCGAUGGCGCAUACCAGGUGCUGCCUCCGCUGCGGAUGUAG